GAAAAAUAAGUAAAGUGUAAAGAAAAAUGCAUAGUGCAUCCUAUCUCCAUCUUCAUCAAAAUUUGUUGCUGCUAACAACAUCCUCUUCACUUCAUCCUUAAUCUAAAAUUCCAUAUUAAACAUGCUCGAAGAGUGUGAGUAUACUGCAACAGUUCUUGGGAGAAAUAUCAAUGUUCACUGUAAUGAUGAAUAGCAGUUUUUAGAACAUCGAUGAAGCUUCUAACACAACUCGGAAUAGUCAUUGAUGCUACUACAAUUCUUUACUCAAUUCCAACCAACUAGUUCAACUUAUUACAAAGG